CAAAAUGUUACAGGGAUAUCUGCACUUUGAGGCAAUGUGCGAUCACAAGUACAACUUUACCUGUGACAUCUGUGGCCGUUUUCCAUGUUGCCUGGUGACAGAUGCAAAUAGGAAAUGUGCAUUUCCAUUAGCAUUGUCACAAGUACCAGGGACAGAAACAGCUACAGAUGGAAUCAACAUGGAUGUGUUUUGGAGCCAAACGGUGGAGGCGUCUAUUUUACUUCGAGGUUUUGGAAAAGAAGCAGCCAACGUCGGGCGUGUUACACCUAGUUAUGACAACUGGGCUC